CUCAUCUUUCGUCACUCGAAUCCAAGAUGGCGGCCACAAGCUACGACUUCGGGUUUUCUAGGGUUUUUCUUGCCGAAAACAGCAUCUAAAGCCUACAGGAGUUGCGUUGACGAUGACGCCGACGUAAUGACGAGCGCUGCUUGUUGUGUGUAUGCUUGUGGGGAUUCGAAAGAAGAAAAAAAUAGAAGCAGGUGUACCUCGUUCUGUGGGCUGUUUUCUAGACGUUUCUCUGUUGUCCACGCUUGUCCCGUGGCAUUCUCGUGCUGCGUCUUGUAACUAUAGGGAAAUUAUAAUGAUAUCCAUUAAAAGAGCCGCGAAUAAGCUG